rnacentral:rRNA from 1 species
GUCAAGUCAUCAUGGCCUUUAUGCCUGGGGCUGCACACGUGCUACAAUGGGUCGGACAGAGGGACGCUAAGCCGCAAGGCCACGCCAACCCCCGAAACCGCCCCUCAGUUCGGAUUGCGGGCUGCAAUUCGCCCGCAUGAAGCCGGAAUCGCUAGUAAUCGCGGAUCAGCAAUGCCGCGGUGAAUGUGUUCCUGAGCCUU